CGGGAGUAACUAUGACUCUCUUAAACUCGAGUGGUUUCAAGCUACUUUGAGAGAGAUAGUAGGGUCUUGGCGUAAGCAACCGAGAUUAUGCCUACUAGUCCAUUGAUGGGAUAACUUACGGGUCCAUCAGGGCAACACAACCUGGUUCGGGGAAACCCUCACUGUGAAGUCGUGCUGCUGCCAAUGCAAGGCGGCGCGAUGGAGUAGGGCAAUCCCGAGGCGAGCUGAUCUAGAGCGAUCUUGGUCGAGCCGUCGUAACGCGCGGAAAGGUGUGGGUGGAGUCACUGACUCUGCUUGAGGGACGUGCUAUUCCCUAGCGAAAGCUAGAGCUGUACUGGAGAGCCCGUAGCUCGAAGGUGUGGCUGGCCGCAUUAGAAGGCUCGAUAGGAAAUGAUCGAGCCGAGGCUGGUAGUUUAUAAAGAAGGUAGCCAAAUGCC
rnacentral:rRNA from 12 species